GCAGAGUAGAAAGUAGAAGCAGCACCGUAUAUAUACACAGAGGGAGACAGUCAAAGACUCAAAGGAAAGUGCAUGAACUCUGCGUUGCUACCACU